AUAGUUAUGAUCUUUAAACCUAAAGAAUUUGGCGGUAUUAUAGUCUAUUUAGAGGAAUCUGUUAUGUAAUUGAUAAUCCRCAUUGAACCUUACUUUUAUAAAGUUUUGUAUACCGCUGUUUAUGAAAAUACUUUUAGGUAUAUUAUUUUCUUAAUAUAUAAGGAUAUAAAAUUUCAAGUCAAGGUGCAGUAUGUAAAAGUUGAAUAAUGGAUUACAAUAAAUUGUAUUUAAAGGAUUAUUAUUGUAAUGAUAAUAUGAAGGGG
rnacentral:rRNA from 1 species